rnacentral:rRNA from 1 species
UGGCUGUCGUCAGCUCGUGUCGUGAGAUGUUGGGUUAAGUCCCGCAACGAGCGCAACCCUUGUCAUUAGUUGCUACAUUCAGUUGGGCACUCUAAUGAGACUGCCGGUGACAAACCGGAGGAAGGUGGGGAUGACGUCAAGUCCUCAUGGCCCUUAUAGGUGGGGCUACACACGUCAUACAAUGGCUGGUACAAAGGGUUGCCAACCCGCGAGGGGGAGCUAAUCCCAUAAAGCCAGUCGUAGUCCGGAUCGCAGUCUGCAACUCGACUGCGUGAAGUCGGAAUCGCUAGUAAUCGUGGAUCAG